GACGGGCGGUACGAGAAACUGGGAGAAGAAGAGAAAGUUGUUGCUUGCUUCCAGCCAUGAACUUACUCUGCCUGCGAUGUAUUUUUUUAUGCCGUGUUUAUUUUCUUCAGUAAAGUUGUGAACUUAAACCAAACCGCUGCAUUGGCAAAAUAAGCACAUUCAUGCACCGUUUCUUCAUUGGUGGCUGGGCACCGCGGCUGCAUCCUCUUCUUCGUGGCAUGGCACAGUAAUUGCAGGUUCAUCAGUCAGGUGGUCAGCACCCAAACUAAAACCAUGAGUCAUGGUGGCCAGGAUGACGUCCAAGAAUUGCAUCCCAGCAGCACAGAUGGGGGAGCCAACAUGAAGAGGUGUCCAGAGAGGCUUCUUUCGCUUUGGCUUUGCAGCAGCACCAGGACCUCACCAUCAGUGAUGCUGUUCCCCUCAUCCAUCGGGCCUACCCUUACAUUCCUCCCCUGAUGCACUGAUCACCUGUACCAGUUGUUGGAGUUUUCAGAAGGGCUCUAAAUUAACUUUUUUUAUUCACUAGUAGCCAAAAUGGCUAGUAUGUUAAUCUCCAAACAUACCGGUACAUUAAAUAAUGGGUCAAAGUGCCAAGUAUGUUUUCUUUUCUACCAGCAAAACUUAAUUUUCCCAGCAUUUGGCUGGUUGGCUGGUGAGCCCUGGUUGUCAUUGAUGGUGAGUAGUUGUGAUAAUAAAUAACUGAAAUGAUGAAGUCC